rnacentral:rRNA from 1 species
GACGAACGCUGGCGGCGUGCUUAACACAUGCAAGUCGAACGGAAAGGCCCUGCUUUUGUGGGGUGCUCGAGUGGCGAACGGGUGAGUAACACGUGAGUAACCUGCCCUUGACUUUGGGAUAACUUCAGGAAACUGGGGCUAAUACCGGAUAGGAGCUCCUGCUGCAUGGUGGGGGUUGGAAAGUUUCGGCGGUUGGGGAUGGACUCGCGGCUUAUCAGCUUGUUGGUGGGGUAGUGGCUUACCAAGGCUUUGACGGGUAGCCGGCCUGAGAGGGUGACCGGCCACAUUGGGACUGAGGGACGGCCCAGACUCCUACGGGAGGCAGCAGUGGGGAAUAUUGCACAAGGGGCGGAAGCCUGAUGCAGCAACGCCGCGUGCGGGAUGACGGCCUUCGGGUUGUAAACCGCUUUCGCCUGUGACGAAGCGUGAGUGACGGUAAUGGGUAAAGAAGCACCGGCUAACUACGUG